GAAAGUAAAAGUCGUAACAAGGUUUCCGUAGGUGAACCUGCGGAAGGAUCAUUAUUGUAUAACCGAGGUGCGAGGGCUGUCGCUGACCCGAAAGGUCGUGCACGCCCGAGUGCCCUCACACACAUCCAUCUCACCCCUAUGUGCACCACCGCGUGGGUCCCCCUUUGGCUUGUUCGGAGGGGGGCUUACGUUUUCACACAAACUUUGUAUGCAGUGUAGAAUGUAUUUUUUGUUUUUGCGAUCACGCAAUCAAUACAACUUUCAACAACGGAUCUCUUGGCUCUC
rnacentral:misc_RNA from 1 species